rnacentral:rRNA from 1 species
ACGGGAGGCAGCAGUGAGGAAUAUUGGUCAAUGGACGGAAGUCUGAACCAGCCAAGUCGCGUGAAGGAUGAAGGUAUUAUGUAUUGUAAACUUCUUUAGCAGUGGAGUAAUAAGGGGAUCGCGAUCCCUGAUGCAAGUACACUGAGAAUAAGGAUCGGCUAACUCCGUGCCAGCAGCCGCGGUAAUACGGAGGAUCCGAGCGUUAUCCGGAUUUAUUGGGUUUAAAGGGUGCGUAGGCGGACUGUUAAGUCAGCGGUGAAAUACCACGGCUCAACCGUGGGGCUGCCGUUGAUACUGGCGGUCUGGAGUACGAUCGGCGCCGGCGGAAUGUGUCAUGUAGCGGUGAAAUGCAUAGAUAUGACACAGAACACCGAUCGCGAAGGCAGCUGGCGAGAACGAUACUGACGCUGAGGCACGAAGGUGCGGGGAUCAAACAGGAUUAGAUACCCUGGUA